AUUGAACGCUGGCGGCAGGCCUAACACAUGCAAGUCGAACGAGUGGCGGACGGGUGAGUAAUGUCGGGGAAUCUGCCCGAUGGAGGGGGAUAACUACUGGAAACGGUAGCUAAUACCGCAUACUAUCGGAUGUACCCAUAUGGGAUUAGCUAGUAGGUGGGGUAAAGGCUCACCUAGGCGACGAUCCCUAGCUGGUCUGAGAGGAUGAUCAGCCACACUGGAACUGAGACACGGUCCAGACUCCUACGGGAGGCAGCAGUGGUGAAUAUUGCACAAUGGGCGCAAGCCUGAUGCAGCCAUGCCGCGUGUAUGAAGAAGGCCUUCGGGUUGUAAAGUACUUUCAGCGGGGAGGCGUUACCAACAGAAGAAGCACCGGCUAACUCCGUGCCAGCAGCCGCGGUAAUAC
rnacentral:rRNA from 1 species